rnacentral:rRNA from 1 species
GAUGGGAGCUUGCUCCCUGAAGUCAGCGGCGGACGGGUGAGUAACACGUGGGCAACCUGCCUGUAAGACUGGGAUAACUCCGGGAAACCGGGGCUAAUACCGGAUAAUUCUUUCCCUCACAUGAGGGAAAGCUGAAAGAUGGUUUCGGCUAUCACUUACAGAUGGGCCCGCGGCGCAUUAGCUAGUUGGUGAGGUAACGGCUCACCAAGGCAACGAUGCGUAGCCGACCUGAGAGGGUGAUCGGCCACACUGGGACUGAGACACGGCCCAGACUCCUACGGGAGGCAGCAGUAGGGAAUCUUCCGCAAUGGACGAAAGUCUGACGGAGCAACGCCGCGUGAGUGAUGAAGGUUUUCGGAUCGUAAAACUCUGUUGUUAGGGAAGAACAAGUACCGGAGUAACUGCCGGUACCUUGACGGUACCUAACCAGAAAGCCACG